UACGUAGGGUGCAAGCGUUAAUCGGAAUUACUGGGCGUAAAGCGUGCGCAGGCGGUGAUGUAAGACAGAUGUGAAAUCCCCGGGCUCAACCUGGGAACUGCAUUUUUGACUGCAUCGCUGGAGUGCGGCAGAGGGGGAUGGAAUUCCGCGUGUAGCAGUGAAAUGCGUAGAUAUGCGGAGGAACACCGAUGGCGAAGGCAAUCCCCUGGGCCUGCACUGACGCUCAUGCACGAAAGCGUGGGGAGCAAACAGG
rnacentral:rRNA from 1 species